CUUAAAUAUUAUGAUGGAGAUUUGGAAGCUGCUAGGUCUUACUAUUUUCGUUCUCUCAAUGUGCGUCGUGAGGCCAUGAAACAUCAUUCUAAUGUUUCAUCCCAGGUCAGAACCUGUUAUUUUUGGGCAUAUAUUUCAUGCCGCUUGUUUGCUGUUAAUUUCAUUUACCUCGUACUGUGACAAAAUGUAAUUUUGAUACCAUGCCUGAUGGACUAUGCGAGUAAUGACAUGGUGGCCAUGCACCUUGCAUGACCUCAAAAUGACAGUAUCUGUAAAGAUUCUUCUUACUAGUUCUGCUGAAAUUAUUAUUAUCAUGAGAGACAUUUAAAAUUAUGAGACAUUUUAGGGGAUGGUCAAAAGAAGAAAAUAGUUGGUCUAUGAUGUGUGAUGAUUCUUUAGUGAUUCCCUUGCCUUUGAUGGGAAGUAGGAAACAAAAUAAAGACAUUAGCCAAGCAUAAUGAGAAAAAGAAAUGAGAAUACUAUGUGUAUAGGCUUUAAUUAGUAGGGAAAAAAAAACUGCUAUUUUUCGCAUCAGAUUUGCCUUCAUAUGUUUCUCAAUCUCUACUGCUGUGGACCACAUGUUCUCUUUUUAAUGGAACAGUUCUGUAAUAUUUGAAUGUUCAUGUUAGUCAGAAAUGUUCCACAUUUGCUUACUUUCUUUGCAUUUAAUUACAGACUCUAGAUGUGGCUGUUUCCCUAGCAAAAGUUGCUGAUGCAGAUAGGAGUCUUGGUCACGAGCAUGAAGCACUUGAUAAAUUUCAAGAAGCCAUAAAAUUGUU
rnacentral:misc_RNA from 1 species